GGGCCUGUAGCUCAGUUGGUUAGAGCAACGGACUCAUAAUCCGUCGGUCGUAGGUUCGAGUCCUGCCAGGCCCA
rnacentral:tRNA from 3 species